rnacentral:rRNA from 1 species
CCUACGGGAGGCAGCAGUGAGGAAUAUUGGUCAAUGGACGAGAGUCUGAACCAGCAAAGUAGCGUGAAGGAUGACUGCCCUAUGGGUUGUAAACUUCUUUUAUAUGGGAAUAAAAUGUUCCACGUGUGGGAUUUUGUAUGUACCAUAUGACUAAGGAUCGGCUAACUCCGUGCCAGCAGCCGCGGUAAUACGGAGGAUCCGAGCGUUAUCCGGAUUUCUUGGGUUUAAAGGGAGCGUAGGUGGAUUGUUAAGUCAGUUGUGAAAGUUUGCGGCUCAACCGUAAAAUUGCAGUUGAAACUGGCAGUCUUGAGUACAGUAGAGGUGGGCGGAAUUCGUGGUGUAGCGGUGAAAUGCUUAGAUAUCACGAAGAACUCCGAUUGCGAAGGCAGCUCACUGGACUGCAACUGACACUGAGGCUCGAAAGUGUGGGUAUCAAACAGGAUGAGAUACCCUUGUAGUC